GAAAGUCAUUAAGGCAUUAGUUUCCCUAGGAAGACUGAUCUGAAGAAAAUGCAAGAAAAUGAAAAAAAAAAAUCCAAGGAAAAGUAGAUCCAAGAUGAGGCUGACACUUAAUGAAGGACUAAGAAGACAUUUGAAGUCAAGUUGAGCUGAGCAGAGCUGCAAUCAACAGACAAUCUUUAUAGAAUGCAAGCA
rnacentral:lncRNA from 1 species